rnacentral:rRNA from 1 species
UACGGAGGGUGCAAGCGUUAUCCGGAUUCACUGGGUUUAAAGGGCGCGUAGGCGGCUUGGCAAGUGGAUGGUGAAAUCCCUCGGCUUAACCGAGGAACUGCCGUCCAAACUGCUUCGCUUGAGACCGGGAGAGGUGAGUGGAAUUCCCAGUGUAGCGGUGAAAUGCGUAGAUAUUGGGAGGAACACCAGUGGCGAAGGCGGCUCGCUGGACCGGUACUGACGCUGAUGCGCGAAAGCGUGGGGAGCAAACGGG